rnacentral:rRNA from 1 species
CCUACGGGAGGCAGCAGUAAGGAAUAUUGGUCAAUGGACGAAAGUCUGAACCAGCCAUGCCGCGUGAAGGAUGAAGGCCCUCUGGGUUGUAAACUUCUUUUAUCUGGGACGAAAAAAGCUCAUUCUUGAGCACUUGACGGUACCAGAGGAAUAAGCACCGGCUAACUCCGUGCCAGCAGCCGCGGUAAUACGGAGGGUGCAAGCGUUAUCCGGAUUCACUGGGUUUAAAGGGUGCGUAGGUGGGUCUGUAAGUCAGUGGUGAAAUCUCCGAGCUUAACUCGGAAACUGCCAUUGAUACUAUAGGUCUUGAAUCAUCUGGAGGUAAGCGGAAUAUGUCAUGUAGCGGUGAAAUGCUUAGAUAUGACAUAGAACACCAAUUGCGAAGGCAGCUUACUACGGGUGUAUUGACACUGAGGCACGAAAGCGUGGGGAUCAAACAGGAUUAGAUACCCUGGUAGUCCACGCCCUAAACGAUGGAUACUCGACAUCAGCGAUACACUGUUGGUGUCUGAGCGAAAGCAUUAAGUAUCCCACCUGGAAGUACGACCGCAAGGUUGAAACUCAAAGGAAUUGACGG